GUGACCAUCGAAUCCGAAAGACAAGAUAUCAAAUAGAAUGAUACUUGCAAUUCUCAAUGCAUGGGGCAUUUUUGUAUCUAUCUGCAUAGUGAGAGAGAGAGAGUUUUUGUCUUCCAUUUUGUGCGUUUUGAUGAUUUGACGAGAAACGAGAAGAAGCAGCUGAGAAUAAUAUGAGCAUGGAGAGAAGCAGAGAAACAAGAAGGCCAACCAUGGCAGCAAGCAAAACCAGAAGAGAAGCAUGAGAGAGCAGAGCAAAAAACAGAGGAGGUACAGAAGAGGAGAUCAAGAUCAAGACAGCACAGAAGAGAGCUUGGGUUUUUCCGACCACCAAGCUCCGCCGCCGCUAAAGGCUGCCAGUGAAGUGAUCGGAGUUGCAGUUCCCAGAAAAGCUCGCUCAGCUGCUGGAAAGAGGUCGCAUGAAAAUUUCUCUUCUGAGAGUUAUGGAGGAGUUGGGGAGGAAGAACAGAGUCUUCAGAAGCUGAGCUUUAAAGCUGCGUCGCUUUCUUUCUCAAACGUUUCAUCGAGGAAAACGAUGAAACGAAAUGGACCCAAGAUUCGGAUUCCGAAAUCUUCAGGGCCUGUAGAAGAAGAGGACAUUGAGAUUGAGAUCGCCGAGGUUCUCUAUGGCCUUAUGAAUCAAACCCAGAAUUCAAAAACUUCGAAGUGCGAAACUGAAGAUAGAAAUGAUUCCGAGGAGAAGAAAGCGGAGGAUGGAAGUGCUUCAAUGGCGGUUCAAAGCAGCUCAGCUGGUGAAGGGGUUGAAGUCGAAGAAAGUGACCAGCCAGAAAAGAUUGAAGCUUGCUCUGACGGUGCAUCAGGGUCAAUGGACUCGCACGAGGAGAAAGCCGAAAAUCCAUACGCGGAAGAAAAGAGCAUCAUCGCCACAAAAGCCGAGUUUUCGUGUGAAGAUUCGAAAGGGACAAAAGCGAUUUCAACUGGGUUGGAGCAUAAGAGGAAGAGAGAGGGGGAAAGAUUUGAAAUUGAUCUGAUGGCUCCUCCUCCUAUGGACCAGGAUGACGACUUUACAGAUUCUGUAUCUGAUCCUAAACCUCCGACCCAAGAUGUAGAUAUGAAGAUCGAAGUUUUGGUAAAGAAAGAAGAGAAAGUGGAAAUAUUUCCGGAGGAAGUUGUGGUAGAAAAGCUGGAAGAGAAGAAGCAAAAUGAGAAUCCAAAUCAAGAUAGUAGCAGUAAUCCACUACCAGAUUACAGCCUUCCGAUUCCCUUCUGCCUCAGCCGCCACGAAAGAGAUGCGCAACCCACUGUCACAUUGCUCACAACAUUCACUUGCAUCAGAAGGUUGCACAGACAACCAAUUUCUGGCCAGCAGCAACUGGUUCUGUUCCUCAAUGUGGCACUAAGCCAGACAUCCCAUUGCUGGGAAGCUUCUCAGGUCCGAAUCUUCAACAUUCGCAGAAAAAGAAGCAGGCUGCGCCGAAGUUUUCAAGUGAUAGUGGAAAAGACAGAAGUUCCGAGGCUGGGAAUGUCAUAGAAACAUCACAUAAAUUGCAGCUUUCAGUUCAGCAAACUCCACAGCUAGCCUAUGCUGGUAACCAAAUGCAUGGACAUACUUUCGCACUUCCUCGGGUUGAACAUCAAGCAGCUGUUGCACCAACCAGUAGUAAAUCCGUCGUGUUGAAAUUUGCACAAUCAACAAACAAUGCAGCACUCUCUAGCCAUUUAGCUGCUAGACCUCUGGAGAGUUCAUCAGUGAAUUUUAAUGGCUACCAAUACCCCAUUUCAGCUCAUAUACAAACAACACCAGUGUUUGGGGGAGGAAACCCUGCUCAAGCAUUGCCUUUAAUCAAAUCGCCUUUCAUUUCGAAUCAAAUGUUUCACCCUUCCUAUGUUCAGCAGCAUCAAGUCCAACCGUCUCAUCAAAACGCAAACGCUUCAUCACCUUCUCACAGGCAACAUGAGUCCCAUAAACCGAGGGAAACACAAUUUAGUAGCAACAAUUGUUUUUCUUCACAAAAGCAACGUGUAUCCCCAGGUGAAACGAACAUGGAGAAUGCUGCAUCUCCUGCUGCCUCUCAUGCUCAGAACAGUGUUUAUGGGCAGAAUUUUUCGGUUCCAUUUCAACCCGUCAACUUUACCCUGAUGCCUUAUGUGACAAUGGGUGGCGGUGGCGGUGGCAGCGGCAGCGGAAACCAGGUUGAGCAAUCACAUAAACAGGGCUUAAAGGGUGGAGUUGAGCUCAUCCCAUCUAAGGCAUAUGGCAUGUCAUUUUCCUCCGUCACUGGAAACAACGGCUCGGGUUCAUGCUUGAACUUUUCAUCCAUGGCACAAAAUCCUGCAAUAUUUCAAAGCGUCCCAGAUAUGGCCCAGCAAGGGUAUAAAAUCACACCAGCACCUCAAGCUGGGCAUCAAAAGAAUCACCACCACCAAAUAUCCCAAAGGAAGACUGAUGGUGGUUCGAACAAUGCUGAUGAUGGGUUAAGAGCUGCUUCUGGGAAGUCUUCAUCAGGUAUUGUGCAGAGGCAGACCCUUGUUUUCGACAAUCCAUCGAGAACUCUCAACUUCAUGUCGUCGAGUUCUCAACAGCAGAACCUGUUCCAGUUUCAGCUGCAGAACCCACAUCUGUUGCAAAAGCAGCAACCCGCUGUUGCUGCCAAAGUCCCGAAAAGCGCCCCGGUUUCCUCCAAAGCUCUAAUGCAAUGCAAUAGUCAUCACCAAUCUUCUCAGUUGAAAAACUCAACAGUCAUGACUUGUUCCCUGCAACAAAGAAGAGGUUCACAAGGUCAGACUCAGAUAUCUUUCGGUGGAAACCCGAAAUCAGCCUCAGCACCACAAGGACAAAAGAGACUCACUAACCACCACUCUUCAUCAAUCUCUGCAUUACAGUCGCAGCAAACCGAGAAUUCUUCGCUGAGCGGUAAUGGCCCAAUCUCCUCCCCUGCCUGUGGGAGGAACUUGGCAUCAAUUUUGAGCACAUGUCCCAGCCACAUUUCUGAACUCAAGUUCUAGAAUAACAUUUGCGGCAGCAAAUGCUGUGACUCUGCUAAUUGCUUGCUCUACAAGUCUCACAGUCAACGAUAUUCCCCAUUUCCCGGUACGAAUUUUUGAUCCCGAAAAGGAUGGUCCAGCCCCGGCAGUGCGCUGUCUCGAAUCAUGAAAACUUGUUCAAGUUCAGUAACUUCAGUUAUGGACUUAAAUUCUUUUUCUGUACAAAAUUAUGAACAGCAAUUUUAUCCUUUUUUUGUUUUUUUUUUUGGCAAACGCUAUUUUGUAUAUUAUUGCUUGUAAUUUUGUCCAACAUGCUUGAAUGGACCUGCAUUUCAAGAAUAAA